CAGUCCCUGCCUUCAAAGAGCUUACCAUCUAAUGGGAGAGACAACAUGGAAACAAAUGCGUACCAGGCAAGCUGGCACAAGAUCCGUCCCAGCUGCAAUAGGUCUUUGAGGUCAACUGACCUGCCCACUUGACAGAGGAGGAAAUCGAGGCCCAGACAGAACAUCUUGCUCCAGAUUCCCCAGGUUUAGUGCUCUAUCCACUGUGCCACCUGGCUGUCUCAUUAAUCAUCCGAUGUCACAUCAGAAAAGAAAAAAUACAGUAAACAGCUUCAUUUUGUGGAAUCUUUCUCCAAUUAUAUUAAAGUGCACUUGAUCAGG